UACGUAGGGCGCAAGCGUUUAUCCGGAAUUAUUGGGCGUAAAAGAGCUCGUAGGCGGUUUUGUCGCGUCUGCCCGUGAAAAGUCCGGGGGCUCAACUCCGGAUCUGCGGUGGGUACGGGCAGACUAGAGUGAUGUAGGGGGAGACUGGAAUUCCUGGUGUAGCGGUGAAAAUGCGCAGAUAUCAGGAAGAACACCCGUGGCGAAGGCGGCUCUCUGGGGACGGGUACUGACGCUAGACGCGAAAAAGCGUGGGGGGAGCGAA
rnacentral:rRNA from 1 species